UAUUACUGCCAUAUCACGUUGAAUGCACUAGUUCUCAUCCGAUCACCGAAAUUAAGCAACGCCGAGCCUAGUGAGUUCUUUGAUGGGUAACCGCUUGGAAAACCUAGGUGCUGUAAGCA
rnacentral:rRNA from 1 species